AAUGAACGCUGGCGGCGUGCUUAACACAUGCAAGUCGAACGAUGAAACCUAGCUUGCUAGGUGGAUUAGUGGCGCACGGGUGAGUAAUAUAUAGAUAAUGUACCUCUUAGUCUGGGAUAGCCAUUGGAAACGAUGAUUAAUACUAGAUACUCCUUCUUAAUAUAAUUUAAGUCGGGAAAGUUUUUCGCUAAGAGAUCAGUCUAUAUCCCAUCAGUUAGUUGGUAGGGUAAUGGCCUACCAAGGCAAUGACGGGUAGCGGGUUUGAGAGGAUGAUCCGCCACACUGGUACUGAGACACGGACCAGACUCCUACGGGAGGCAGCAGUGAGGAAUAUUGCACAAUGGAGGAAACUCUGAUGCAGCAACGCCGCGUGGAGGAUGACGCAUUUCGGUGUGUAAACUCCUUUUAUCAAGGAAGAAAAUGACGGUACUUGAUGAAUAAGCACCGGCUAACUCCGUGCCAGCAGCCGCGGUAAUACGGAGGGUGCAAGCGUUAUUCGGAAUCACUGGGCGUAAAGGACGCGUAGGCGGGAAGCCAAGUCUGAUGUGAAAUCCUAUGGCUUAACCAUAGAACUGCAUUGGAAACUGGUUACCUAGAGUAUGGGAGGGGGAGAUGGAAUUAGUGGUGUAGGGGUAAAAUCCGUAGAUAUCACUAGGAAUACCUAAAGCGAAGGCGAUCUCCUGGAACAAUACUGACGCUAAGGCGUGAAAGCGUGGGGAGCAAACGGGAUUAGAUACCCCGGUAGUCCACGCCCUAAACGAUGUUCACUAGUCGUCGGGAUGCUAGUCAUCUCGGUGAUGCACUUAACAGAUUAAGUGAACCGCCUGGGGAGUACGGUCGCAAGAUUAAAACUCAAAGGAAUAGACG
rnacentral:rRNA from 1 species